ACUUGUCAACGGGAUAAAAAAACAUCUUAACCGCAAAACCAGAUAUACAGGGUCUCUUAACUGUACAGAACCAGAGGUGCUUCGGCGGUUUUGAUCCCGGAUUUGGCCUACGUGGUGGCUGAGUUAGCGUGGGACCCACGUGGGUCCCACAUGUCAGUAUAUCUUUUCCCUCCUCUCCCUUUUCUGCUGUUUCUCUCUCUCACACACUCUUCUCUCCGACGGCCGACGAUGCAGCACGGGAGAAGGGGAGGGUGGCGGAAGGGCGAGGCGGCGGCGGCGGGUGAACGCGGUGGCGGGCUCGUCCUCCCCGAUCACACUCUCCGGCAUGGGGAAAGGAUGGCGCAGGCGGCGGACCGCGCGGGAGACCAGCGGCAGGCGGUCGUGGAUGCGGCGCUCACGCGGGGCUGGGCUGGCCGCGCGGUCGUGGUUGGCGGCGGGUGAGGUGUUGGCGGCGAGUGCACCCGGGAAUCGAUGGAGCAGAGGCGGCGGCGGUCGUGGUCCGCGAGUCCAUGCAGCUGCGUUCGUUCUGGGGGAUUGGAUUCGGUCGUCAGCUGCGUUCGUUGCUUUGAUCGAACCAAGGCCACGCGAUUCCGUUCCGAUCGACUUGUUCCAUUUCAUCUACUGUCUCAAUCAGUUCAGUUGUUGAGGCGCAUUUGAUUUUUGAUUUGGGUCGAAAAUUUGAUGGCUCAAUCUGAUCUGAGUUUUGGGAUGGAUGGAUGGAUGGAUGCGUGCAGGGCAACGGAGGACAGGGAGAGGAGGAGAUGGUUGAGCCAGGGGAGCGCGGGAGGGGGAGUGGCGGCCUCCUCCGGGGUCGCCGUCAACAUCACCACCGGGCCCAUGACGGAGACGGAGGACGACAUGGCCGUCGCCGAGGAGGAGGAGGUGGUGGCGGCGUCGGCGGAGACGGAGGAGCACGUGCAGCGCAUCCUCCUCGCCAUUGACGCCUUCACUCGCCAGGUGUCGGAGAUGCUGGAGGCGGGGCAUGAGCUGUUCAAGAACCUCGCCGCCGACUUCGAGGAUCGCCUCUGCUCGAUCCACAAGGAGAGGAGAGGGUGGAGAGGUGGGAGGACGAGAUCCGGGAGCUGCGCGCCCGUGACGUCGCCAAUGAGCAGGCACGCUCCCUCCGCCGCCACCGCUCUCGCCUGCCGACGUCGCAUCGUUCCAGCCCGCCGAUGCCGCACCGCUCUCGCCCGCCGACGCCGCCUCUCCGCAACCGUGCUCGCCCGCCACCGUCGCCGCUUCGCCUGCUCUGGCCGCCAUUCUGGUGCGGCGACGGCGCCCGGUUGAAGAGGUGCCCCUUGGGCCGCCCUGCGCCGUCGCCUCCGGCCGGCUUGCCCAGUCGCCAGAAGAUAAGAGAAGAGUGAGAGAGAGAGAGAGAGGAGAAAGGGAGAGGGUGAUGACGUGCCCAGCUGAUAUGUGGGGUCCACGUAGGUCCCACGCUGACUCAGCCGUCAAGUAGACUAAAACACGGAUAAAAACCGCGGAAGGGCCUCUGAUGACUAGUUUUGUAUAGUUAACGGACCCAGCAUAUUUGGUUUUACGGUUCAAGGAUGUUUUGUAUCCCAUUGCCAAGUUGAGGGACCUUCGGUGUACUUUUUCCAAUCCUUUUCUCGCGCAGAACGCGGCCCACUGAAGUAAUGGACUGCACGUUAAAUAAAUCUCUUUUUAUCUUUUUA